rnacentral:rRNA from 1 species
CCUACGGGUGGCUGCAGUGGGGAAUAUUGCACAAUGGGGGAAACCCUGAUGCAGCAACGCCGCGUGAGUGAAGAAGUAUUUCGGUAUGUAAAGCUCUAUCAGCAGGGAAGAGAAUGACGGUACCUGACUAAGAAGCCCCGGCUAACUACGUUCCAGCAGCCGCGGUAAUACGUAGGGGGCAAGCGUUAUCCGGAAUUACUGGGUGUAAAGGGAGCGUAGACGGCUUUACACGUCUGAUGUGAAAGCCCGUGGCUCAACCGCGGAACUGCUUUGGAAACUGUAAGGCUGGAGUGCUGGAGAGGCAGGCGGAAUUCCUAGUGUAGCGGUGAAAUGCGUAGAUAUUAGGAGGAACACCAGUGGCGAAGGCGGCCUGCUGGACAGAAACUGACGUUGAGGCACGAAAGCGUGGGGAGCAAACAGGAUUAGAUACCCCAGUAGUC